AGUGCACUAGAUCUUGUAGCACUUAGCAACGAAGCCCUAUCCAUUAGUAUUCCACAUAAGAAAUCCAUUCUAGAAAAAAAUACAAUUAGAUUAGCUCUUCAUAGACAAACUUGGGGUUUGCGAGCCAAGGUAAGAUCGGCUCGGGAUCAUGGGACCCUUUUCUAUCAGAUAGGAGGGGCUCUUGUACAAAAUAGAUUACUAAGUAAUAACCCCAUAGAUCCAAAUCUAAAAUGCAAAGGUUGUCUUAUUCAAAACCUCAAUCAUCAUAUCCCCUCUCUCCCACUUCACACAUCGGAACGCACUGUUCUUAUAGAGAUAAAGGCGCUUUCCCAUCUUCUUAACCUAACGGGCAUUGUUUAUCUUGAAAAACAAAUAUUUCUCGACGUAAGAAAAAAAUCUUUUUUAUUUUUAAUUUAA
rnacentral:rRNA from 1 species